rnacentral:rRNA from 1 species
CUGCGGAGGAUCAUUACCGAGAGGGGCUCUGCCCCAGGGGACCUUGGUCCCCGUCUCUCCAACCUGUGAUUAUCUUCCAUUUGUUGCUUUGGCGGGUGCGAGAGCCCCCGCCAAAAGCCUUUUUCUACUCGAUUUUAAAACGCGUCCGAGUCCAUUACAAAUAUUCUAAAACUUUCAACAACGGAUCUCUUGGUUCUGGCAUCGAUGAAGAACGCAGCGAAAUGCGAUAAGUAAUGUGAAUUGCAGAAUUCAGUGAAUCAUCGAAUCUUUGAACGCACAUUGCGCCCUCUGGUAUUCCAGGGGGCAUGCCUGUCCGAGCGUCAUUAUCACCUCAAGCGUAGCUUGGUAUUGGGCGUCGCCCCUCUCGGGGCGUGCCUGAAAAGUAGUGGGUGUCCGGUGGGACUUUGAGCGUAGUAAUCUUUUCCCGCUCCAGAAGCUCUCUCCACGGUACCUAGAAUUCUUUCUUUAUAGAAUCGACCUCGGAUCAGGUAGGGAUACCCGCUGA